rnacentral:rRNA from 1 species
GACGAACGCUGGCGGCGUGCCUAAUACAUGCAAGUCGAGCGGACUGAAUGGGAGCUUGCUCUUGUUCGGUCAGCGGCGGACGGGUGAGUAACACGUGGGCAACCUGCCCGCAAGACCGGGAUAACUCCGGGAAACCGGAGCUAAUACCGGAUAACACCGAAGACCGCAUGGUCUUUGGUUGAAAGGCGGCGCACGCUGCCACUUGCGGAUGGGCCCGCGGCGCAUUAGCUAGUUGGUGAGGUAACGGCUCACCAAGGCGACGAUGCGUAGCCGGCCUGAGAGGGUGACCGGCCACACUGGGACUGAGACACGGCCCAGACUCCUACGGGAGGCAGCAGUAGGGAAUCUUCCGCAAUGGGCGAAAGCCUGACGGAGCGACGCCGCGUGAGCGAAGAAGGCCUUCGGGUCGUAAAGCUCUGUUGUGAGGGACGAAGGAGCGCCGUUUGAAGAAGGCGGCGCGGUGACGGUACCUCACGAGGAAGCCCCGGCUAACUACGUG